rnacentral:lncRNA from 1 species
AGUACUUGGGUGGUGUUGGAGAGGGUGGUGACUUGGGAGGGUAGUGAGGAUGCUUGGGUGGUGAGUACACUGGUGGUGUUGGUGAGGGUGGUGACUUGGGAGGGUAAUGAGGGUGCUUGGGUGGUGAGUAGACCGGUGUCUUAGGUGGUGACUUGGGGGGGUAGUAGGGGUGGUGAGGUGGUGAGUAGACUGGCGUUGGUGGUGGAGGAGACUUGUAGUGGUAUGGCUUCUUUGGUGGUGGUGGUGAGUGAUGUGGGUGGUAGGGCUUCUUGUGUGGUGGCGGGGGUGGUGGAGACUUGUAGUGGUAAGGCUUCUUCGGUGGUGGUGGAGGUGGUGGAGACUUGUAGUGGUAUGGCUUCUUUGGUGGUGGUGGUGAGUGGUGUGGAUGGUAGGGCUUCUUGUGUGGUGGGGGUGGUGGAGGAGACUUGUAAUGGUAAGGGACCUUCGGUGGUGGCGGUGAUGGAGGAGGAGGAGACUUGUAGUGGUAAGGCACCUUAGGUGGUGGUGGUGAUGGAGGAGGAGGAGACUUGUAGUGGUAUGGCACCUUUGGUGGUGGUGGUGACGGAGGUGGUGGAGAUUUGUAGUGGUAGACAGGUGUCUUUGGUGGCGGGUACACCGGAGGCUUGGGAGGUGACUUGGGAGGGUAAUGUGGGUGCUUAGGAGGAGAGUACACCGGAGGCUUAGGUGGUGACUUUGGUGGGUAAUGGGGAUGCUUAGGCGGCGAGUACACCGGUGGUGUGGGUGAGGGUGGUGACUUUGGUGGGUAAUGAGGAUGCUUUGGUGGAGAGUACACCGGAGGCUUAGGCGGUGACUUGGGAGGAUAGUAAGGAUGAUGGGGUGGUGCGUAGUGCACUGGUGGCGGAG